rnacentral:rRNA from 1 species
UACGUAGGGGGCAAGCGUUGUCCGGAUUCAUUGGGCGUAAAGCGCACGUAGGCGGCCCGGUAAGUCGGAUGUGAAAUCUCACGGCUCAACCGUGGAACUGCAUUCGAAACUGUCGGGCUAGAGGCAGGUAGGGGAGAUCGGAAUUCCCGGUGUAGCGGUGAAAUGCGCAGAUAUCGGGAGGAACACCGGUGGCGAAGGCGGAUCUCUGGGACGGUACUGACGCUGAGACGCGAAAGCGUGGGGAGCAAACAGG